CAUGCAAGUCGAACGGUGAAGAGGAGCUUGCUCCUCGGAACAGUGGCGGACGGGUGAGUAACACGUGAGCAACCUGGCUCUAAGAGGGGGACAACAGUUGGAAACGACUGCUAAUACCGCAUAACGUAUCGGGAUGGCAUCUUCCUGAUACCAAAGAUUUUAUCGCUUAGAGACGGGCUCGCGUCUGAUUAGAUAGUUGGCGGGGUAACGGCCCACCAAGUCGACGAUCAGUAGCCGGACUGAGAGGUUGAACGGCCACAUUGGGACUGAGACACGGCCCAGACUCCUACGGGAGGCAGCAGUGGGGGAUAUUGGACAAUGGGGGCAACCCUGAUCCAGCGACGCCGCGUGAGGGAAGAAGGUUUUCGGAUUGUAAACCUCUGUUGACGGAGAAAAAAAUGAUGGUAUCCGUUUAGAAAGCCACGGCUAACUACGUGCCAGCAGCCGCGGUAAUACGUAGGUGGCAAGCGUUGUCCGGAAUUACUGGGUGUAAAGGGAGUGUAGGCGGGAUAUCAAGUCAGAAGUGAAAAUUACGGGCUCAACUCGUAACCUGCUUUUGAAACUGACAUUCUUGAGUGAAGUAGAGGCAAGCGGAAUUCCUAGUGUAGCGGUGAAAUGCGUAGAUAUUAGGAGGAACACCAGUGGCGAAGGCGGCUUGCUGGGCUUUUACUGACGCUGAGGCUCGAAAGCGUGGGGAGCAAACAGGAU
rnacentral:rRNA from 1 species